rnacentral:misc_RNA from 1 species
UCCGGCUUACACCGGCGGUCUCCUGUGAGUGCCCGGCUUUAACCGCUGGUAACACAGGACGAGGGUUGCGCUCGUUGGCGGACUUAACCGUACACCUCACGGCACGAGCUGACGACAGCCAUGCAACAAGUGUCUUCACGUCCCCUUGUGGGGGAGGGCCCUAUUUCUAGAGCUUACGAUCGAUGUCAAGUCUGGGUAAGGUUCUUCGGUUAGUAUCGAAUUAAUCCACAUGCUCCACCGCUUGUGCGGGUCCCCGUCAAUUCAUUUGAGUUUCAACCUUGCGGCCGUAGUCCCCAGGCGGGAUACUUAAUGCGUUAGCUGCGGCACAAGAGGGGUCGAUACCUCUUACGCCUAGUAUCCAUCGUUUAGGGCGUGGACUAC